UACGAAGGGGGCUAGCGUUGCUCGGAAUUACUGGGCGUAAAGGGCGCGUAGGCGGCACUGUUAGUCAGGCGUGAAAGUCCUGGGCUCAACCUGGGAACUGCGCUUGAUACGGCAGAGCUAGAGGAUGGAAGAGGGUCGCGGAAUUCCUAGUGUAGAGGUGAAAUUCGUAGAUAUUAGGAAGAACACCGGUGGCGAAGGCGGCCCACUGGAUCGGUACUGACGCUGAGGUGCGAAAGCGUGGGGAGCAAACAGG
rnacentral:rRNA from 1 species